CUUCUUUUGGAUAUUUCGUUAAGCUGAAGUGUUUCGGGAGGAGUCCAUUAAGAGACUAUACCAUUAUCUUUAAGAUAUUUCAAAAAUUUUUGACUAAGAUAUUCACCUUCUCGAUCAGAUCAAAGAACCUUAAUGAAUUUAUCUAUUUAUUUUUUUACUUUAUUUCUGAAUUUUUUGAACCUUUCAAAGGCUUCAGACUUGUGUUCAUGAGAUACACAUAUCCAUAUCGAGAC
rnacentral:lncRNA from 1 species